CGGAAGUUCCCUAGGGGUCAAAUCAGAGCUGCAGCUGCCAUCCUGUGUCACAGCCAUAGUAACAUAAGAUUUGAGCCUACACCUGUCUGCGACCUACACCACAGCUCACAGCAAUGACGGAUCCUUAACCCACUGAGCAAGGCCAGGGAUUGAACCUACGUCCUCAUGGAUACUAGUCAGAUUCCUUACCACUGAGCCACAAUGGGAACUCCCCUAGAUGGAUCAUUUUUCUAAUCCAUCAAGCUUCUCCUGAAUUAUAUUCAAGCUUCCUUAGACUGAGUGUUUUCCAUCUAAUACUCCAGGAUAAGCCAGGAUCUAAUUCUGGUCCUGCUUUUAUACAUUUUUAACUUCACUCAUCCAUUUACUCAACUGCUACUUUUCCCCCUUUGCACCACCCACUCCGCUAGCUCGCAGUGCCCAAGGCAGUCCCUGGCCUUUUUGGAGAUCACAGCCUUAGCGAGGACUACUGAAAUGAAACCAAAGGGGGUGUCCUUGUGGAAACAUAUGGCUGGGGCUGAAAGAAUGGGAGGAGCAACUGUAUUUCAGGAAUGUCGGGUGUGCUGUGGUUAAAACAAACAAACAAAACAACAGAAAACAAUCAAAACACCUCCAAAAUGCAAUAAUGUUAUGCAAUGAAGAUUUUCUUGCACACACAUUCCAUUGCAGACUGUGUGACUCUCCAAGGCAGCCAUCCUUUCUACAGAAAUCAUGACUGCUUGUUUCUCCUGGUGUCUUACCAACAUGCGCCAGCUUCCAGGUGAGGCAGAAAAAGCGGACCUGGUGGGGGUGGUGUCUCACACCUGCAUUUAAGCGCCUUUGAGUGGAAGAACCCCCACCCUGCUCUCUCCUGCUCACGUGCCAUUGGCUGGGACAGAUCACGUGGCCGCAGCUAAGCGCAGGGGAGGCUGGGAGAGACGCCUUGCCCAGAGCAGGUGCAGGUGGAGGAGAUGGACAGACGGGCACAUGGCAUCGUCUCUUCUGCGGUGACUCACGUGGCUGGAGCCCAGAAAGAGAAGCUCGGGUUCACCUACUCCUGGACUCUCAGGUGUUAAGACCACAAAAGACCCAAGACCUGAGCCAUGACUGGAGAAGCUGCACUGAAAUUUUCCAGAAGGACCUGAAGAAAAUGCUCUCUAGAACUCCAGCCCAUCUGUGUCGCGUGUCUACAGUGCUUCCAUUGGUGGUGUUACUGGACUGGGUUUGUUUUGGCCAAUUGCACAGCAAGCCGAAAGCUGAGACACGGAGGUUUGUAGCCAGUCACGGAAACAGGAGAAGCAUCUCACAUCCGCCUCCCCAAAGACAACGGCCUUGGGGUAUUUACUGGAUAAAGAAUAGAGCAGCAGGGCGGUUUGGCUUGAGGGGAGCAUGGGGAGAGGUGAUUGGAAAAUGGGAGAGUUGCGUUUUUGCACAGGUGUAACUACACUAAACGCCUCCACAAGAUCGAAAGGGCUGGGAAGACGCUGGCGCAUGCCCAGUGGAAGGGUUGGUGGUCCUAUCUGGUCUUAACCAGCUCAGUUUGAACUGGAUGAAGCGGACUCUGAGUUCCUGGGAAACAACCCUGGUGAAUGUUUUACUGUCCAGGCCAUGUGCCACUUGGAGGGCAGUUGAGUCUUAACCUGGAUCAGUAAAGGCAGGUGAAUUGGAUUUAUUCCACGGUGGGUACACAGAGGCAUCGCCAGGCCAGACAAGCACCUCGGAAGGUGGAGACGACUGUGAUCCUUCGAUACGCUGGCCCUGUCACCGCAGAAAGACCAGUGUCGGGACAGUCGUGCAAGGUCAGUGCGAGUCUGGGAGAGCAUGCCUGCCCACUGGGCUCAGUGGGGAUUAACGGAGGGGUGAGUGAGAGCCGCCAGGGGGGCCAAGGGGACGCCCUGGCCGAGCCCUUAGGCUGUGCCAAGGCACAGAGGCCCAGUGGGGCAAGGGAGGAGCUUGGGGAGUGGUGCCCCGCAGCUAUUGCUCCUAAAGAGAGAGCGCUCCAGGGUCCAGGGGGCUCUGGCCAGCUCGCGUGGGGUUGGGGGAGGAGGCCAAGGCCGGGCCCACGGAAUCUGCCUGCACCUUGGUUUGUUCUUCAAAAGAAGAAGAAAACAGCCUGGUUUGGGGUUUGCUUUGGUGGCUAAGUGGCGGUGAGGGCUUUGCCCAGCCAGUUGACCACCCCCCACCCCGCCCUGGGCCUCCGUUUCCCCCUCUGUAUACAGGGUCAUGACUUAAACUGUGUUUAGCUCAGCAUCACAUAGAGAUGUUAAAUGCUGAUUCCUGGGCCCCAUCCCCAGAGGUUCUGAGUCCUCAGAGCCUGGGUAACGAGGGCCCCAGGGGCUUCUACUGCAGGUGGACCUUGUGUUUUAGCAGCUAACUGAACAGUCUUGAUGGUAAGAAUCACCUGGGGAGUUGUGACAAACACAGCUUCCCUCCCCUGAAGAUUCUGGCCCAGUGAGCUGGCCUAGGGCAGUGAUUCUCAAAGUGUGCUCCCAGGAGCAGCAGCCGAGGGCACAUCCCGGGAUUUGUUCCACUUGCCCAAUGUCAGGUCGCACAUGAGAGCUACGGACUAAAAAUCUCCAGGGCCAGGGCCCCGGCUGUUUGAACAAACUCUCCAAGAGAGUCUGAUGUCUGCUGAUGUGACGCGGUGACCUCAGGCCUAGGGUCUGUAUUGCUUAACAAUCACAGCAGGUGAUUUGUAGCCUUGGGCCAGGGGGACAGCCUUGCUAGCAGGAAGGACACUUCUAGCUCCUACUGCCCAAGGCUCCUGAAAGGCCUGGAUUCUCCCCCACUUGCCUCUGAGUCUCUCCAGAAUAAGGCGACUGGGAAGCAGUAUUUUCCCUUUGCAAGCAAGUCAUUUUCAGAAGAGCUGGGGGCCGGGUCAUUAAAACCCCCACCUCACAAAGGCACACACACAUGUACUCCUCGACACCCUCACUCCUGUGCUCCCCUGAGAAGAAGUGGAGGCCACGGAGAAACUUCCAGAAUCCAAGAUCUGCCGAAAAUGAGGCUGGGUCAGCAGGGGCCACUUCCUUUUAUUAAUUCAUUCCUGCCAGCUGACAUCUCAUUUUCUGGAAGCCGACCUGUGGAGCCUGGCUCCCUGGCCCCUCCCACCGGCUCCCACUCGCUCUCCUUCCUCCCUGGCGGGGGAGAGCUUCCCGCUAAGAAUAACAAGGAGGUCUGAGCAGGUACCUGGCCCACCAGGCAUCAGAAAAAUGAACCGCUCCCUCUGCUCCCCUUUGAACGCAUCUUAAAAUUCUGGGGCAGGUCCAUUAGCUCAAGGCUGACAGGGAAGAGAGGUUCCUGGCCUCUGGGUCCGGGCUUCCAGAGGGCCCUCUUUCCUGCCCCUUUCUCAUCGUCUCACCUGUGUGUGCCUGCAUCCACACACUUCAUUCAUUCAUUCAUUGAGCACAUCCUUGUGCCAGCUAAUGUGCUGGGAGAUGAGGAUGCUCGCAGUUGUGUGUGACCUGAAAAAAUACCUUCAACCUCAGCACACAAAACUUGACCCCAGAGCUUCAUUAAAGCUUCCCUACGGCGGCGGCG
rnacentral:lncRNA from 9 species